GAUGAAGAACGUAGCGAAAUGCGAUACGUAAUGUGAAUUGCAGAAUUCAGUGAAUCAUCGAGUCUUUGAACGCACAUUGCGCCCCCUGGUAUUCCGGGGGGCAUGCCUGUCCGAGCGUCAUUGCUGCCCUCAAGCACGGCUUGUGUGUUGGGCCUCCGUCCUCCUCCCGGGGGACGGGCCCGAAAGGCAGCGGCGGCACCGCGUCCGGUCCUCGAGCGUAUGGGGCUUCGUCACCCGCUCUUGUAGGCCCGGCCGGCGCUUGCCGACACAUCAAUCUUUUUUCCAGGUUGACCUCGGAUCAGGUAGGGAUACCCGCUGAACUUAAGAAUAUCAAUAAGCGGAGGA
rnacentral:misc_RNA from 1 species